ACCUGACUGGCUGAGUUGCUAAAGCAUGGGACUCUUGAUCCUGGGGUCAUGAGUUCAAGCCCCAAGUUGGGCA
rnacentral:tRNA from 1 species